CGAGUUGUAAUUUGCAGAGGAUGCUUCGGAUUCUGCUCCGGCCUAAGUCUUUUGGAACAAGGCGUCAAGGAGGGUGAAAAUCCCGUAUUUUCGGAUUCCAGUUUCCAUGUGAAGCUCCUUCGAAGAGUCGAGUUGUUUGGGAAUGCAGCUCUAAAGGGGAGGUAAAUUUCUUCCAAAGCUAAAUAUCUGCUAGAGACCGAUAGCGCACAAGUAGAGUGAUCGAAAGAUGAAAAGCACUUUGAAAAGAGAGUUAAACAGCACGUGAAAUGGUUAAAAGGGAAGCUUAUGCAGCCAGAUAUGAUUCAAAGGCUCAGCCUUAUGGUGUAUUCCUUUGAAUCGGGUCAGCAUCAGUCUAGGCAGCUGGAUAAAAGCUUCGGGAAUGUAGCUCUUCGGAGUGUUAUAGCCCGAUUCAACAUGCAGCUAGCUCAGUCUGAGGUCCGCUUAUAGGAUGCUGACG
rnacentral:rRNA from 1 species